GAACAACUGCUUUAUAUAUAAAACACAGAAAAAAAGACAACCCAUCAUCAUUUACAAUGAAGACACUUAUAGUUUUACUUUUAGUUGUUAGUCUGUUAACAAGCGCAUUUUCUCUAGGAGAUGAUGCCAGUCUGCCAGACGUUGCACGAGCAAGUCGGCUGAGAAGGGCAGUGAUGCCAGCGGCAGCAGUACGUCAGAGUGCAAAGGCUGUUGCACAAAGAUGUUGAUGAAAGUAUUGACGGUAAUUUAAGACUCCAGCGGGCAACUAUACUAUGGUCAUUAGCUAUUGGCUGUCUUAAGUUACACAUUUCGUCGUUUCAAAGUUUGGUACAUUGUAUUCAGCGCCUGGUACUGAAUGACUACCGGAUACUAAAAACUCGUGCAGAGCAAGUUCCAGUUAGAUGUUACCAUUGGCAACGGAUCAGUGUCAUAUACUUGUAUAUUUGUAGAUAAGA
rnacentral:lncRNA from 1 species